GAUGAACGCUGGCGGCGUGCCUAAUACAUGCAAGUCGAGCGAACAGACGAGGAGCUUGCUCCUCUGACGUUAGCGGCGGACGGGUGAGUAACACGUGGAUAACCUACCUAUAAGACUGGGAUAACUUCGGGAAACCGGAGCUAAUACCGGAUAAUAUAUUGAACCGCAUGGUUCAAUAGUGAAAGACGGUUUUGCUGUCACUUAUAGAUGGAUCCGCGCCGCAUUAGCUAGUUGGUAAGGUAACGGCUUACCAAGGCAACGAUGCGUAGCCGACCUGAGAGGGUGAUCGGCCACACUGGAACUGAGACACGGUCCAGACUCCUACGGGAGGCAGCAGUAGGGAAUCUUCCGCAAAGGGCGAAAGCCUGACGGAGCAACGCCGCGUGAGUGAUGAAGGUCUUCGGAUCGUAAAACUCUGUUAUUAGGGAAGAACAAAUGUGUAAGUAACGAUGCACGUCUUGACGGUACCUAAUCAGAAAGCCACGGCUAACUACGU
rnacentral:rRNA from 1 species